rnacentral:miRNA from 1 species
AACCCGGGAAAUGCAAAUUCUCAGUUCUGCUUCACACCUAUGGAAUCAGAAAACUCUUGUGUGGAGUCCAGUAAUCUGUAUUUUAACAAACCCUGUGGGUGAUUCCAGUGCAUGCUGAA